AACGAACGCUGGCGGCAGGCUUAACACAUGCAAGUCGAACGCCCCCGCGAGGGGGAGUGGCAGACGGGUGAGUAACGCGUGGGAACAUACCCUUUGGUUCGGAACAACUCCGGGAAACUGGAGCUAAUACCGGAUACGGCAGGAAUGCGAAAGAUUGAUCGCCGAAGGAUUGGCCCGCGUUCGAUUAGCUAGAUGGCGGGGUAACGGCCCACCAUGGCGACGAUCGAUAGCUGGUCUGAGAGGAUGGCCAGCCACAUUGGGACUGAGACACGGCCCAAACUCCUACGGGAGGCAGCAGUGGGGAAUAUUGGACAAUGGGCGCAAGCCUGAUCCAGCCAUGCCGCGUGAGUGAUGACGGCCUUAGGGUUGUAAAGCUCUUUCGCACGCGACGAUAAUGACGGUAGCGUGAGAAGAAGCCCCGGCUAACUUCGUGCCAGCCGCCGCCGUAAAAC
rnacentral:rRNA from 1 species